rnacentral:rRNA from 1 species
GACGAACGCUGGCGGCGUGCUUAACACAUGCAAGUCGAACGGAAAGGCCCUGCUUUUGUGGGGUGCUCGAGUGGCGAACGGGUGAGUAACACGUGAGUAACCUGCCCUUGACUUUGGGAUAACUUCAGGAAACUGGGGCUAAUACCGGAUAGGAGCUCCUGCUGCAUGGUGGGGGUUGGAAAGCUCGGCGGUUGGGGAUGGACUCGCGGCUUAUCAGCUUGUUGGUGGGGUAGUGGCUUACCAAGGCUUUGACGGGUAGCCGGCCUGAGAGGGUGACCGGCCACAUUGGGACUGAGAUACGGCCCAGACUCCUACGGGAGGCAGCAGUGGGGAAUAUUGCACAAUGGGCGGAAGCCUGAUGCAGCAACGCCGCGUGCGGGAUGACGGCCUUCGGGUUGUAAACCGCUUUCGCCUGUGACGAAGCGUGAGUGACGGUAAUGGGUAAAGAAGCACCGGCUAACUACGUG